rnacentral:lncRNA from 1 species
AGAGGACCUGUUUUCUCAUAUCAUCACAUCUGAUGGAUAUGCCAAACUUCAUCCAAAUUCAAACAGGCACACCCUGAAUGACAUGGGGAAAUGGAAGGAGAAAAAAAAAAACAAUGCUAAAAAGCCUAGAGAUGACCACAUAUGAAACGACCAUGUGUGUAAAGGAUUGCUGGAAAAUAAAUCAGGAAGUAUGAGGAGAUUUUCCUCCAGUAUUCACUGUGAGAAACUGGUCCUGCUCCUGGAGGCAAAUUCACAAAAGCACGGAGGCCCUGAUGACUGAGUGCCCCCCAGUUUUUAAUCUCUGGGGCUCGUUGGCUCUGGGCCUCCAGCCACUCAUCAGUGAUGUUCAGGUUUCCCUACCUUGGCACUGCUUCCCACGGAGAGAUGGCCUGGAUUCUGCCAUGUAAAUCAAAGAAGAGAGGGCCUAACUCAGCUGCCUAGCCUGGAUCACCUGGAACCCAUUAGGAUACAGGAUCAUAAACACCUCUAUUUUCCCUUCAGAGAGAGACCAGAACCACUGGAGUUAAGCUACCUGCAUAAGAGCUUGGGUCCCAGCUCCAAAAUGUCUCAUUAUCUGUAUUUGAAUAUCCCCAAAUUUGAAAAAUUCAAAAUCUGAAACACUUCUGAUCCCAAGCAUUUCAGACUCCUAAGAGUUAAUACGAAGUAGAAAGAGAAGUUGGAGUUAAGCAGCUCGUUCCAGUUCUGAUUUUGCCAUUUCCUGUCUGAGUGACCUGACUUCCCUCUCUGCCUCCAGCCAUGACUGUAAGUUUCCUGAGGCCCUCACCAGAAGCCGAGCAGAUGUUGGUGCCAUGCUUAUACAGCCUGAAGAACUGUGAGCU